rnacentral:ncRNA from 1 species
AUAGCGCCUUGACCGGAAGGAGUAGGCGCGCGCGAUGCCAACAGAGACAGGGGCCAAUGAGCUGCAAGCCCCGACGGCCAUCGAGCGCCGAAGUCGUCCGGGUCGGCUGCCGAAGAACGGGCUUAGCCUUAUUAGAUCGGCACGGGUGCGCCCGUUAACGCGCCGCCCCAAUGACUGUUGGGGCAAUGAGCGCGCCGGAACUCCGGCGAACUGAGGUGGUACCACGGAAGCACAGCCCUUUCGUCCUCUAG